rnacentral:rRNA from 1 species
GUUUGAUCCUGGCUCAGGAUGAACGCUAGCGGCAGGCCUAAUACAUGCAAGUCGAACGGUGUCUUCGGACAUAGUGGCGCACGGGUGCGUAACACGUAUGCAACCUACCUUACAUUGGGGGAUAGCCUUUCGAAAGGGAGAUUAAUACCGCAUAAGACAGUAGCUGGGCAUCCAGCAGCUGUUAAAGAUUUAUCGAUGUAAGAUGGGCAUGCGACCAAUUAGUUAGUUGGCGAGGUAACGGCUCACCAAGACUAUGAUUGGUAGGGGAACUGAGAGGUCAAUCCCCCACACUGGCACUGAGAUACGGGCCAGACUCCUACGGGAGGCAGCAGUAGGGAAUAUUGGGCAAUGGACGCAAGUCUGACCCAGCCAUGCCGCGUGCAGGAUGAAGGCGUUAUGCGUCGUAAACUGCUUUUAUACAGGAAGAAACGACUCUUGCGAGAGGCAUUGACGGUACUGUAUGAAUAAGCACCGGCUAACUCCGUGCCAGCAGCCGCGGUAAUACGGAGGGUGCAAGCGUUGUCCGGAUUUAUUGGGUUUAAAGGGUGCGCAGGUGGUUUAUUAAGUCAGUGGUGAAAGACGGUCGCUCAACGAUUGCAGUGCCAUUGAAACUAGUAGACUUGAGUAAAGUAGAGGUGGGCGGAAUUGAUAGUGUAGCGGUGAAAUGCAUAGAUAUUAUCAAGAACUCCCAUUGCGUAGGCAGCUCACUUGGCUUUUACUGACACUCAUGCACGAAAGUGUGGGUAUCAACAGGAUUAGAUACCCUGGGUAGUCACACUGUAAACGAUGAUUACUAGGUGUCGGCCGAAUCUGGUCGGUGCACAGCGAAAGCGUUAAGUUAUCACCUGGGGGAGUACGCCGCCAACGGUGGAAACUCAAAGGAUUUGACG